GGCUGGGUCGGUGCGGCCGGUGCUGGGGAGCCGCGGUGAAGCUCCUCGGGUUUCUGUCGCCCUCCUGGGGUCCCCGGGGGGCUGGGGGGCUGGGGGGCGCAGAGGCGAGCUGCCGCGGUCGUCUUUCAGUGUUUCAGAAUCGGACCUAGUAGUGCACGUGGCUAUGUGGCUGUAUAACGGCCUGCAGAGACCAUUUAUUUUUGAUUCCUGAUGGCUUGUUACAGUUAUUUUGCCCUGUUUAAGGGAUGGGGGCUCUUUCUGCUGCCGCCUAUCUCUUUGGUGUCUCUGAGGGGUGGCUCGGUGGCCCGCACUGAGCGCCCUCCUGAUGGGCCUCCUCGCCGUCCCCCCAGGGCUGGUUGUGCCUGAGGUCUUUGACGAUAGAAAGGCGUCAAACUGGGGUUUCCAGGCUGUGGAGAGUCCAGGUGUGACAGGAAGGAUGGACAAUCUCUUGGCUCCGUUCCUGCAUGGUGGAGGGUUGGUAGGCCAGGCUGCUUGUCUCAGGCGGGGGUGCAGAGAGGUGCAGCCUUCGCUCUGCUGGGGCCUUACCUACCAUGUUACGCUUUGCUUACGCAUCUGUGGCCGCAGUCAUGUUGCCUUCUUACCGGUCCGUGCGACUGCACACUGAAGAUCAUGCUGGGAAAAGUACUGUAGGGAGUUUUCUGAAAGAUUUUGAAAUCAGAAGUUAACCUCUUAUGUUGGGGUUUAUUAGAUAAAAUCCGUCUCUGACCACAGAAUUAUAUAGGUUCCUAUCACCCCCGCUUUCUGUUACUCAGGCAGGUGUUCAGCACCUAAAUGCCACUGUUUACCUGGGCCCAGCUGGCUCUGAUUCUGAAAAACAACUGAGUAAUAAUGCUGCAUUGACUAAGACUCCAGGAGCUGCAGCUCACCAGCUUCAAUAAUUUCAUCUAAAAACAAAUAAACCAGUGUAUUUUCUUGAUUAAAGGCAAACUUGAACCAUAAAGAUAAGAAAGAUACCUGUGUCCUUACAGUAUUCUUGCAUAUGAUACAUGAACUGGAAAAAGAGGUGUUGCAGGCUUGUGAUAGUGCAGCAAAGCAUGACACACUGGUACUGUAAACAAAGAUCAGUGAGUUGAAACCCCCUCUGAACCCCCUUUUCCAUAAAUAAGUUCCUCCCCCAUAAAUAAUUUUAGUGCAUACAACACAAAUUUAGGUCAUGUCAUUAUUGCUUCCCCUUCAUAAAGGAUGAUGUUCCUCUCAGUUGCUGCUCUCCGGCUUGCCCUUUUGCUUUGAAACGGGAGGUGACCUGAGGCACCUCGUCAUGAUGUGCAUGGCAUUCCACCUGGAGGUACAAAGUACUGCCAUCUUCAGCUGUUUGGCGUUCAGACACGGAGGGUCCCAGUCAUUUCCUUCUCCAGUGCCAGUGUUUGGAGCACCGGCUGAAGAUCAGAUAUGUCCCUGGCACUUAUGAUUCAGUUAAAACCACGUUGUUCAAAGCGGUAGUAUAAAAAGCUACCUCAAAAGAAAACCAAGCUGUCCAGCCAGCUAAAAGAAUUAAAAUUGGAAUUCCAUCCAAGAUCCUCUUAAUUUAACUGCUGAUGGUUUGAGAAGUUCGAACUACCUGUAAUCGUAAGGUAAAAGGCCCAUGUUAAACUCCUUGGGAAGGAGGAGGGAAAUAUAUAGAAGCAUUUGAGCAAGGGAGAGAUGGACUGUGGGAGGCAAAGGAAGAAGUCCAGGACUCGCAGGACUACUACAACCACCCACACAGCGGAAAAGAAAACUCUGUCGUGUCUCCAUGUUAAAAUGAGUGGAAAUUGAACUUAGGGCGAUUUAGCAUGUGAUUACUUUUUUUAGACAGGAUUUUCUUCUUAGCUGAAUUGGAUUGUGUCUUUUUUCUCCCAAACCAGAUGUAAAAUUUAUGACACUGGAAGAGGAUGCAAACAGGACUGUAAUCCUACAAAACGGCUGAGUAACUUGGGGAAGUUUUGGAGGAGUUUGUUUCUCUGGCUAUAUGGAUAUUGAUGUUACCAUGCCAGGUGGUAGAAAACUGCAUCUGCAGAAGGACACGUAGUCCUGCUGAAUGCUGCUGCAUGGGCUGGCAGCUGGAGUGCUUCUUGUAAAUCAAAUGAAUUAAGGAGGAUAAGUAACCUGCUCUGGUCUGUCUGUGAAACAAGAUCCAUUUAAAAUAAAGGCCUUGGAGGGAUACGGUAGAAAUCCACCGUCCGCAGGCGUGGAUGUCCCCGGAUGAUUCUAAUUGCAAUGUUGCCUUGUGACUGUGCCGAAUUAAGAAACAGAGCUGAGCUGAAAUUCCUGGACCGAAGGAUAUCACAGCUACUAUCAUCUCUUCAAAAAUGUCAAAGGAACCAGGGCUGAGCGUUUCUCCUGCUCCCACCUGUGCUUUGGGAUGCAAAAGAAUAACACUAACACACAGAGAGCACGACUUCCUCUUGGAUGCAUCUGGACCAGUUUAUUAGGCAAUUCACUGAGCCUGUGAUUGGUCUGCAAGCAGCUGAUGAUGAGCAGUGCCAAGAUAUGGUACUGGGCUGCUGAUCAAUUUUCUGUCUUUCAGAAGACUAGAUUAGUGAAACAUCACUCUCAUAAGCCACAGCUUCACCAUGAGGACAUUAGGCAGCCAAGAUUGUACAAAGUAUCCUCACCAGCAGUCUUCCACUCUCUGACAAAUCUUUUCUUCUUGAAGGUAACUGUGGGUGGUCUUCCUUUGUCUAAUUUCUGUAAAUUCGGUACAUCACUUUCUAGUUAUGCAGCUGAUGCUCGUGUUUAUAUGAAUGGCUAUUUAAAAAAAGGAAAGAUCAGAUGUUUGUUGUUUCACUUCGACAUAAAUCAAACUUUGUAUUCACACAGCAAUUCUAGCCUAGCCCCAGGAAUAGCUUUAGUAUUGCUAAGUGUCUGGAGAAUAUUGACUACAGAGACAUGAUUUUAAGCAGGCUAUAAUAGUUUCUACAGCUGUUAACAGUUCAUAGAAGAAAGGCAGUAUUAUUCAUUGGUGUUUAAAAUGCGCAUGACUUGCAUUGCACAGAAGUCAGAUUGGGAGAAUGUCAGAAUUUUUUUCUGAAAUUCUGCCAGGAAAGUCUUCAAUAACUAGAGAAAUUCUUUUCACUGGUGAAAUCAACAUGCAGCACAUUGUGUUAUUAUAAUUGCUUAUAGCUCACCAUGAAAGUUGUCUUUGUAUGUGUGGAUGUACGGCUUGUACUGUUUUGUUUUUAUUUAUUCUGCAUUCUUUAUUAUAAUGUUCUUUCCUUUUUUCCAGACCAGAAAGAUUGUUAUUGAGCUUUUCACAAAGCUGAAAUAAUGCUGUGUGUUAAAAAAAUGUUAACAAUUUGAAGAAGUUAUAAAAAUUUAUAAGUUGGCUGAAUACUUUGGAAAUUUCUGCAUAUUUUAAUAUAAAUAGGUAAUGCAAAUGUUUGUUCUUUGCAUUUAGAGGUGGGUCUGUGUUUUCUAAAGGUCUUGUAUGUAAAUUUGAUUCUUACAACUACAUUAGAACAAAACUAGUAUUUUUUUAGAUUGUAUAACACGGAAAAAAUGUGUUUGCAAAAGACAGAGCAUUCACGGUUAACUGUGAAUGCUGUAUAGUCAUGAAAUUUAACAUAAAUAUACAUGUUAUGAUAUAACAUAA